rnacentral:lncRNA from 1 species
CCAUCAAUUUAUAAGUAUACAUUCUAGAAUGUGGGAAAUAAAAUUAGUGUGCCCUACUUAAUGGAGAUAUCCUUUUAAAUUACUUUUUUUUAAGUCUACUGGUUAUAUUGCAGCUGUGAUGGCUGGGGUUUAAACAGGCAUUUAAAUAAUAAGGGAAAAUCAUGAGUUGUGGAUUUCGAAACAAAAAGUUCGAGGACACUAGUUCCUUUGUGCAUGUGAAACAACAAAAACAAAGUUAGAAAGAGAUCAGUACAUUGACUCUUAAAUAACACAGGACCCCGUAUAACUUUUGACUCCCCCAAAACUUAAACUACUAAUAGCCUACUGAUGACUAAAAAUUUUCCCAGACUACUGAUGACUAAAAGCUUUCCAAAUAAAAAUUAACAUGUUUUGUAAGUUACAGAUAUAUCUACAUAUAUUUUAUACAUUCAUGCCAUAUCUAACUUUUUCAAAAGUUAUUUUUUUUAUAUUUCUAGGCCACAGAGUUCAUAUGUGAAUUUUUUUCAAAUUGUUGCAAGUCUGCAAAAUUUUUCCCAAUGUAUUUAUUGAAAUAAAUCCAUGUAUAAGUGGACCUACAUGGCUUAAAACCAUGUUGUUCAAAGGUCAAAUAUAAAAAAAUAAAAUAUGUCAUUUUUAUUUUUUGCUCCUCUUGGAAAUUUUUGGUAAAAAUGUUCUUGACAGGAAUUCCAGUUGGGUUUUCUUGAUGUGAGUGGAAAUGUUAUCAGCUAUUUUCCAAGUACUUGCAUUAAUGAAUAGACUGGCAGUGAGUUGCCCAGAUCUUUGGGCCAAAAAAGAUAGAUAUUUCAGUUGACAAUUAUAGGCAGUUGAUAGAGUUUGGAAGAAGUAUUUAAAUGUUAUCACUAAGAUACAACAGAAAUAAUAUAAGAUUCUAAAAAAAAAAAACUGAAUAAGUGAAAGAACAGGGAAAGUGAUGAGAAAUCACAAAAUUUUAGCUUGACUGAAAAAAAUUCAUUUAUGAAAAGUAAUUUCAGUCAUCCCACCAAAGAAUUAUCUUCCCACAGUCCUGAUUCAUUAGUUUUUGAGUUUCAAAUGAGUAGAAAGCAUUAUUUAUAUAAAAAUCAAUAAAAUUACCUUUUAGCCUUUAAUUAGAUGUAUCUCAAAAUUGUGUUCCAUGGAGUGCAAUACAAUGUUUGUGUAUACAUCUAAACUAAGAUAGGAAUGAGAGAGAGAGGGGAGAGAGAGACAGAAUAUAAACAUGUCAGGGAGAAAUGCAUAAAAAUCCAUUUAUCCAGGGAUUCCUGCCUCUGAGUUGGAUAGUGUAGCUUUGCCACACCAAACCCCGUUUUAAAAAAUUUGGAUUAAAUACAGGAGUCACAUGCUCGAAGAUAUCAGAGAGCUGUUGAGCAAUGAGAACUGGUGGGGCUAAGAACUGGAAGAGAGAAAGUGAGGACUAUUUGACUGUUGUGAGAGAGAGAGAGAUUAGAAAUUCAGGAUGCUCUGUUGCAAUGAAUAUUUCAGGAUUCCUCUUUUUUGAUGAAAGGCCUGAAGUGACAGAAAUGAAAGGGAGAUUGACCCAACCUUACCAGCUUUGCAAAACAGCCUUGACUCAGCACAAUUACUGAUCAACAAUUUAUUUUUGGAAUAUCAUAAAAAAAUUAUUAGGCAUACAGAAGACCACAAAACCAAAAAUCAAAUGAAAAUGGAUAAUAGAAACAGACUGAUAAUGAUGGGACUACCAGAAUUGGCUGAAAAGUACUCUAAAUAAACUGUCAUUUUAAUGUUCAAUAUAGGAAAUGAGGAUAAAAUUAAUAAAAAUAAAAUUUUCAUAGAGAAAUUGGAAUCUAUAAACUUAUUUUAGGUAAAGCAUGCAGAUGAUAAGAUGAUUACUUUCAAAUAAAGUUCAGAGUCAAAAAACUUUAAAUAUGAAAUGGCAUUUUAGUGAGGUUGGGAAAAAUCAGCUAACACAGGGGGGAUGCCAGUAGUGGCAGAAUUAGUAAUGGAAAGAUUUUUCAGGCAAUUAUAAGAAGUUUAAUAUCGAGUUCCUGAUGAAAUACAUCUGCUAAUGACCUUGAAGCCUGUUUUUUUAUCAGUGAGAAUUAGGGGGCUAGAAGACUGUCAAAACACUGGUAGCAGGUAUUUCUGAAAGUUGAUAAAGGUUGCUUUUAGACUCUAUAAACAAAUAAAAUUAAUAAUAAUUUUAACUUAUUCAAAAUAUGUCUCAUUGGCAAUAAGAAUAAUGGUUUAGAGCCAAAAUAAUUCAAGUCAUGUCAAAUUUUGCCACUUUCCUUCUUUUUAUUUCACCUUGAAUUAUUUUUUUUUCCUUGAGUUACUAAGUUCCAAGACGAGGACUAUGCAACAGACAUAAUUGACUUUUUGGUUUCGACAAAACAUUUGAUAAAAUAACCAUGAUAUUUUUGUUUGUUUGUUUGUUUCGCUUUUUUUAGGGCUGUACCUACUAGGGGUUUAAUCAGAGCUGCAGCUGCCAGUCUAUACCACAGCUACAGCAACCUGCGGACCAAGCCAUUAUCUGCCACCUACAUCACAGCUCACUGCAAUGCCAGAUCCUUAACCCACCAAGCGAGGCCAGGGAUCAAACCCUCAUGUUCAUGGUUACUAGUCGGGUUCCCUUCCACUGAGCCACAACAGGAACUCCAACUAUGCCAUUUUCAAUUGUAGAUGGAUGCAAUGAUAGUAUUUCAAAAUGGAUUGAGAGUCAUCUAUAAAUAAUUUUGAUUGUCUGUGUCAGUCUGAACUUUCUCCUUAGCCAUUCUUUGUUACAGUCAUGCUGUUUUAAAUGAAUAAGGAUCCACAUAUCAUAUUUAUAUUUGAAGAAAAAACAAAUAGAGCAGAAGAAGCAUGACAUAUUUUCUUAAUGUUUUAUUUCAAAAUAAUCUUAGUAGGCUUGGGAAUAGAUGCCUGAAAUGAAAAUGAUAAUAUUCUAUAAUAAAGUAUCUAAAAUAAUGUGUCUCAGUUCUAACUAAACAAAAACAGCUUAAUGCAAAUAUAGCCUGCCAAAAGUUCAUAUAUACUAUUUUGGAUUGACCAAAUGUCAUUAUAAAUACUGGUGGGGGUAUAUUUUAUGAGCUGGGCAUAAUUUUACCUCAUGUUAGAAUAACAACAUUUUAAAAAGUGAUACUCUGGUUAAUUCUGGGUAUUCCAUGCAAGAGGGCUGGCGGUUAACCAGAAAAUAUUCAGAAGUAUUUGACAGGAUAAUGAAAUAAAGAAGACCACAAUAGGAAGAAUUGACAAUGAACUGAUAUCAAAAAGGGAAUGGUAUCAAUUAAAAAAUAUUUUGUUAAAACAUAUUACAUUAAAAAAAUGUAAUGAACUAUGUGAAAUUUUCCUAAUCAGGAUAAGUAAUCAUUAAAAUGUUUUUAUAUUUGAUUUUGCUGUUUCAAUACCUUUCUUCUUUAUCUACAAAGCUAUACAUGUAUAUCCAUAAAAGGAAGAAGUUACUACACAAUUCUUAAACUUAUGAAUACUGGUAUAAAAUGCAAAUAUCUCUUAUUAGAUUGUCUUCUUCUUUAGAACUGUUUAAAUAUGCUACUACUAGAUGUUACACUAAAAGCCUAUGUCUAUGUCAGUAUAUUUUAUUUUAUUUCUUACUAGGUUCAAAGAGUAGAAGAAAAAAUUAGUUUACUCUGGCUGAGAAAAAAUUAUAUAAUAAAAUGCAUGUCCAUUACAUUCAAUAUCUGGGUUUUAGGAAAUACUACAAUUAACUAAAUUAUUCUUUUUCCAUUUUCAUUUCUGCUGCUGUCCAUCUCUGCAAAUCAUGUCAAACUUUCUGUUCCCCAAAUUUUAAUAGCUUCCAAAAGCUGUGCCCAUUUGACCUAGCUGUUGAUUAUAUACUAUAAUGUACUGCUAUUUCUUCAGAAUCAGAAUUGCAGCAUUAAUAUAUACUUCAGAAUUAUUGAUAUCCUUAGUAUUGUAAUUGGGGAAAUUGAGUCUUAGGCAUAUGAGUUACCUUGCACAGAAUCACAUGGUCAAUUUUCAACAGAGUUGAUAAGUCACAACAAAAGAGCAAAAUUUAGUUACUUCCCAUUUAAUCUGCUUCCUUUAUUUUAUACAAGUCAAUCUUCUUUUCCAAGAAAACUCGAAGCUCUUCAAGGGUAGUAACAGUGUGCAACAAAAUGCUGAGCCUACAGAAUGCAUGUAGAUUUUUUAGCUCUGGGUUGCAAUUCAGCUCUUUAAAAACUAAGCAAAAAGGAAACUAUUUUCAGUUCCACAGAAAAUAGCAUUGUAAACUACCUUAAAAACAAAACUCUUAGUGAUUCCAGUACAUUUUAUUACAAUGUGGCACUAGAUCUGGAAAACAUAUUUCUUCUGUGAUGUGAUGGUAUAAACUUAAUUAUUGAUUUUUCUCAAGACAGAAAAUUAUUUUGAAUUUGAAUUUGGAUAUGUUCUCACAGAACAAAACUCUCAUUUUAUACUAAAAUUACUUAUAUAGUGAUAUAAAUAGAGCUAUACAUGUCUGAAUGCAUAUAUUAAUUUUUCACAAAUAGAGAUGGAUAGUUAAAUCAUGGAUGAGGUGAUAAGCGAGAGAAAGAUGGGAAGAAAGAGAGACUUUGUUAGUAAUUACAUCCUUCCAUUCAGG